GGGCCCAUAGCUCAGGUGGUUAGAGCGCUUCACUGAUAAUGAAGAGGUCCCAGGUUCAAGUCCUGGUGGGCCCA
rnacentral:tRNA from 1 species